AUUGAACGCUGGCGGCAGGCCUAACACAUGCAAGUCGAACGAGUGGCGGACGGGUGAGUAAUGUCUGGGAAACUGCCCGAUGGAGGGGGAUAACUACUGGAAACGGUAGCUAAUACCGCAUACCAUCGGAUGUGCCCAGAUGGGUUUAGCUAGUAGGUGGGGUAACGGCUCACCUAGGCCACGAUCCCUAGCUGACCUGAGAGGUUGACCAGCCACACUGGAACUGAGACACGGUCCAGACUCCUACGGGAGGCAGCAGUGGGGAAUAUUCGACAAUGGGCGAAAGCCUGAUGCAGCCAUGCCGCGUGUAUGAAGAAGGUCUUCGGGUUGUAAAGUACUUUCAGUGAGGAGGCGUUACUCGAAGAAGAAGCAACGGCUAACUCCGUGCCAGCAGCCGCGGUAAUUC
rnacentral:rRNA from 1 species